UGCCUUUGUGUUGCCCUUUCACUGACUUCUUCGUGAACUGGGUGUCAACUAAGGCAUACAUUGACUCUUGCGGUUGUGACAGAAAUACAUCGCCUCUGAUCUAUUUCUACACAAUCGACUGCAAGCACAAAU